CACACACACACACACACGCACACACACACAUACAUACACGCCUAUUAUGUCCGAGGACCAUGGUAAACUACCUUCUUUUGAGGACAGGUGUUAUCUAGCUCUAAUGGACAUAAUGGUGAAAAGACUCCUUAAAAAAGAGAGUGCUUUUAAGGACGCUCACAAAAUUGAAUGCGUUUUUUUAAGUUUAAAAAUUUAUCAUAGACCUAUACAUCAGAGGACAUGAUUCUUGUUUUGGUAUACGUCUGAGGUGGCUUUCUCUAAUGUUAAAAUGUCAUAUUUCAGCAUUCGACAGAGGUCAACCACGCACACUUAUCAAGAUUGCGUAAACUUACGAGGACAUUGUAUUGAAUAGGUAACACAGCUCAAGUUUACAUAAAUGUACGAGGACAACAUGCGUUACAAAUGUAACACAGUCUUUGUUUGUAUAAACUUAUGAGGACAUAUCAACACAGAUAAAGUUUCUGUAAACUUAUGAGGACAUCACACAAAUCAAGUUUGCAGCAACACACGAGGUCUUAUUGCACAGGUAUUUCACACAUACCAAGUUUGCGCAAUCUUAUGAGGACAUUGUAUUGAAUAGGUAACACAGCUCAAGUUUGCAUAAAUGUACGAGGACAACAUGUGUUGCAAAUGAAACACAGUCUUUGUUUGUAUAAACUUAUGAGGACAUAUAAACUUUAUCUGUUUAUUUUGCACAGGUAUUUAUCUCUUUUAGCGAUCAUGAGGAGUUUAUCUCAACAAGGUUCCACUUUACAUCAUUCAGAUACAAGCAAAUUUAAACACUUCAAGUACACAUGUAGAUCAUUUUCAAAGAUUUGUUUUUAAUAAAACUCAACACUGACAACAGGAACUUGACAUACAUGCAGUUAGUCAUUCAUAAUGCAUAAAUAACUUUUCUCUUACAUGUACAAAAUCUCAGAAAU